CUACGAAGGAAGUUGACGGGCCCCGGCACAAGCAGCGGAGCGUGUGGUUUAAUUCGUACGCAACGCGAAGAACCUUACCUGGGUUUGACAUCUUGGGAAUCUUUUAGAAUAAGAGAGUGCCCCGCAAGGGGAGCCCGAAGACAGGUGCUGCAUGGCUGUCGUCAGCUCGUGUCGUGAGAUGUCGGGUUAAGUCCCGCAACGAGCGCAACCCUUAUCUUCAGUUACCAUCAUUUGGUUGGGGACUCUGGAGAUACUGCCCCGGUUAACGGGGAGGAAGGUGGGGAUGACGUCAAGUCCUCAUGGCCUUUAUAUCCAGGGCUACACACGUGCUACAAUGGUCCGUACAAAGGGUUGCAAGCCUGCGAGGGUGAGCUAAUCCCGAAAAGCGGAUCUCAGUUCGGAUUGGAGUCUGCAACUCGACUCCAUGAAGUUGGAAUCGCUAGUAAUCGUGGAUCAGCAUGCCACGGUGAAUACGUUCCCGGGCCUU
rnacentral:rRNA from 1 species